rnacentral:lncRNA from 1 species
UGGGUCUAAGACCAUAAAAAAUGGCUGCCGUUUCCAUGGAAACAGAACAAUUGUGAAAAAUUCCAGUUUUUGGUUUUGGUGAAUAAUUUGGAGAUGCUUAAACUCAGAAUCAUUAUAUUUUAAUACAAUGUAGGUGCCAGCCAUAUACUGGUUUUGGAUGAUUUUGGCAAUCAUUGGAACUACUAUGUUGCCAUGGAAACUACACCAAAAAUUUCAAAAAUAUCAAAAUGCUCCAAAUUUUUUGAAACUUCACAGUAACGAUGAGCAACAUUGGUAGAUGUGGAAUUUGGCGUUGGAAUUUCCAAAAUGUCUGCCGUUACCAUGGAAACAGAGCAUAAGUGUCAAAAUGCUCUAAAAACUUCAGGGUUUGGUGAAUAAUUUUGGUAUGCUUGAACUUGAAAUCAUCAAAUUUUUACACAAUAUAGUUAUCCACUAUAUACAGGUUUUGAUUGAUUUUGACAAUCAUUGGAACUACUCUGUUACCAUGGAUACAGGAUCAAAUAUUUCAAAAAUUUCAAAAUGCUCCAAAAUUGAUGAAACUUAAUAUGAUUGUUGACUGGCAAGUCUGGAUGAGACUUUUGACUUUGGA